AUUGAACGCUGGCGGCAGGCCUAACACAUGCAAGUCGAGCGAGCGGCGGACGGGUGAGUAAUGUAUGGGGAUCUGCCUGAUGGAGGGGGAUAACUACUGGAAACGGUAGCUAAUACCGCAUACCAGCAGAUGUGCCCAGAUGGGAUUAGCUUGUAGGUGAGGUAACGGCUCACCUAGGCGACGAUCCCUAGCUGGUCUGAGAGGAUGACCAGCCACACUGGGACUGAGACACGGUCCAGACUCCUACGGGAGGCAGCAGUGGGGAAUAUUGCACAAUGGGCGAAAGCCUGAUGCAGCCAUGCCGCGUGUAUGAAGAAGGCCUUCGGGUUGUAAAGUUCUUUCGGUAGCGAGGCGUUAACUACAGAAGAAGCACCGGCUAACUACGUGCCAGCAGCCGCGGUAAUUC
rnacentral:rRNA from 1 species